GGCAUGGUGGCUCAGUGGUCAGAGCGCCCGCUUCAUGAACGGUAAGGUCGUGGGUUCGAACCCCGACCGAGUCA
rnacentral:tRNA from 1 species